rnacentral:rRNA from 1 species
UUAAAAAGCUCGUAGUUGGAUUUCGGAGUGGGCCGUUGGUCCGCCGCAAGGUGUGUUACUGACCUGGUUUGCUCUUCUUCGCAAAGACUGCGUGUGCUCUUCAGUGAGUGUGCGUAGGAUUUACACGUUUACUUUGAAAAAAUUAGAGUGUUCAAAGCAGGCUAUUGCUUGAAUACAUGAGCAUGGAAUAAUGGAAUAGGACUUUGGUCCCAUUUUGUUGGUUUCUAGGGCCGAAGUA